UAAGGAAUAUUGGACAAUGGAGGGAACUCUGAUCCAGCCAUGCCGCGUGCAGGAAGAAGGCGCUCUGCGUUGUAAACUGCUUUUGACUGGGAACAAAAGGUAGGACGCGUCCUGCUCUGAGGGUACCAGUAGAAUAAGCACCGGCUAACUCCGUGCCAGCAGCCGCGGUAAUACGGAGGGUGCAAGCGUUAUCCGGAAUCACUGGGUUUAAAGGGUGCGUAGGCGGCGUUGUAAGUCAGUUGUGAAAUACCCCGGCUUAACCGGUGGAAGUGCGAUUGAUACUGCGGCGCUUGAAAGAGGAUGAGGUAGGCGGAAUGUGACAUGUAGCGGUGAAAUGCUUAGAUAUGUCAUAGAACACCGAUUGCGAAGGCAGCUUGCUGGACCUACUUUGACGCUGAGG
rnacentral:rRNA from 1 species